UACGAAGGGGGCUAGCGUUGCUCGGAAUCACUGGGCGUAAAGCGCACGUAGGCGGAUUGCUAAGUCAGGGGUGAAAUCCUGGAGCUCAACUCCAGAACUGCCUUUGAUACUGGCGAUCUCGAGUCCGGGAGAGGUGAGUGGAACUGCGAGUGUAGAGGUGAAAUUCGUAGAUAUCCGGAGGAAUACCAAGGCGAAGGCAGUGUCCUGGCAAGUAACUGACGCUGAGGCGCGAAAGCUAGGGGAGCGAACAGG
rnacentral:rRNA from 1 species